AACGAACGCUGGCGGCAUGCCUAACACAUGCAAGUCGAACGAGACCUUCGGGUCUAGUGGCGCACGGGUGCGUAACGCGUGGGAACCUGCACUUAGGUUCGGAAUAACUCCCCGAAAGGGGUGCUAAUACCGGAUAAUGUCUUCGGACCAAAGAUUUAUCGCCUUUGGAUGGGCCCGGGUUGGAUUAGCUAGUUGGUAGGGUAAAAGCCUACCAAGGCGACGAUCCAUAGCUGGUCUGAGAGGAUGAUCAGCCACACUGGGACUGAGACACGGCCCAGACUCCUACGGGAGGGAGCAGUGGGGAAUAUUGGACACUGGGCGCAAGCCUGAUCCAGCCAUGCCGCGUGAGUGAUGAAGGCCUUAGGGUUGUAAAGCUCUUUUACCCGGGAUGAUAAUGACAGUACCGGGAGAAUAAGCUCCGGCUAACUCCGUG
rnacentral:rRNA from 1 species